CUCCUUGGAACACUAUAGGGGUUCCUCCCUCCAAGUUGCUGCUCAAAGGCUGCAGAAAAGAUUCAUCUAUUGCUUAUGAAAAUAGAAGGAAUACAUGGCUAUUUAUAGGGCUUCUAAACCCUAACUCCUAAUAGGACUCCUACUUAAGUCUCUUACUUCUAACCAACUCCUAAUAGGACUCCUACUCAAGACUCCUAUUCCCUUACAACCCCUAAUUCUUCUCUAAGAAAAAACCUCCUACAUGAAUGCCCCUUUGUAUUAGGACUCUCCUAGCUAGAGUCCUAACAGAAUGUCCCUCUCAAUUAGGACUCUCCUAGCUAGAGUCCUAACAGUUUUACAUGAAUGUCCCUCUCAAUUAGGACUCUCCAAGCUAGAGUCCUAAUAGACCCGCCCUCUUCAAAUCAGCCUUGUCCUCGAGGCUAAUGAUUCGUGAAUUCUGGGAAUUUGAUCUUCAAGUCAUCAUAGUUCUCCCAAGUGGCAUCUUCUAUUGGUAGGUUCGCCCACUGUAUUAGCACUUCAUUAGUGGGUCAUCGUCGUCGAGUCACGAUCUGUCGAUCAAUAAUGGCACUUGGUUGGGUCUGGAGUUCUCUUUGGGUAGUCAUAUUUGGUGGGUGGCUUUGGGCUGUCUCCAAGCACCUAU
rnacentral:lncRNA from 1 species